rnacentral:rRNA from 1 species
CCUACGGGCGGCAGCAGUGGGGAAUAUUGGGCAAUGGGCGCAAGCCUGACCCAGCCACGCCGCGUGAAGGAAGAAGGCUUUCGGGUUGUAAACUUCUUUUCUGAGGGACGAAGAAAGUGACGGUACCUCAGGAAUAAGCCACGGCUAACUACGUGCCAGCAGCCGCGGUAAUACGUAGGUGGCAAGCGUUAUCCGGAUUGGAUGGGGGUAAAGGGCGUGUAGGCGGUAAUGCAAGUCAGAUGUGAAAACGCAGGGCUCAACCCUGAGCCUGCCUUUGAAACUGUUUUUCUUGAGUGUUGGAGAGGCAAUCGGAAUGCCGGGUGUAGCGGUGAAAUGCGUAGAUAUACGGAGGAACACCAGUGGCGAAGGCGGAUUGCUGGACAGUAACUGACGCUGAGGCGCGAAAGCGUGGGGAGCAAACAGGAUUAGAUACCCCUGUAGUC